CGGGGCCUUUGCAGCCUCCAUACUUAGCGAUGGCCUCCUGGACCCACUUUCUCUCUCAAACUGUCUUUUCUCAUUCCUUUGACUCUGCUGGACUUCGUCAUCCCCACGACCCGGUGUUGAGUCUGAUCACCCAACAUCAUCAGGAUAGAAGCUUCCCUCUCCUCCUCCAGACCUUGUGGUGUGCACGUGGGAGUCCAGGGACUAGAAUACUCAUUUUCAAAGCCUGACAUUGGACCCGGGAGACAGGGAAAAACCAUCCUCAGGAAGUCACAGUUCUCUGUUGAGAGAGUUUCCUGAAAACAAACAUUGGAUUAACAAAAGAGACAAAUGGAAGUUUAUUAAUGCAUGCUGUACCCAUCAUGCAGGAGAGGCCUCAGUUCAAAAGCAUUUCUCUCCCAAGGCAGUGACUUAGGGGACUUGCUUAAAUAGUAUUUCAACAAAGAACCAUCAAUCCGAUAUAGUAGAAAGACAAAGGAGAGAGCAGUUUCAGUCUUUCAAAAGAGAGAAAGAGAGAGCACAGAGGUAUACAGCAUGUGAAACUUUGGACUGCUCAAAGAAGACAUUUUCAAACAUAUCUUUUCAGGACUGUCAAUAGGAACCGUAAGUGAGUUUCAGGUUCGCUCAUCUAAUUGUAGCAGUUAACUGACUGACAAGGUGAAGAAGGAUUGUGGUUUUCUGUUUCAGAUGGAAAAACUAAAAACAUAAGAGAAUCUCACAAUUAUCCACAUAUGCCCCAAAAGUUCAUACUACAGAAGAAUCUAUAUAUACUUAAACAGACUAUUGAGAAAAGUCAAGUUGUUUUUCUAUAUGAACCCAAUAAUGCAUUUUCAAGACACUGGAUAAAUUUAAAGUAAGGGUCUUACACAUUUACUACUGAAGGGCCAGUUAAUACAAAAAGAUCUAAUGCCGUUAUUGCAGACUUAUUCAACCAAAUUUCCAGCUAAUGCUUUUUAAAGAAUAAUUUCACAAGAAGUUUUAUUUUGGGCACAUGCCUUUGGUCUAUACUCCUUUUUGUCAAGUCAGCCAUAGCCUAUGAUCAAUGUGAGUUCUCCAGCCCACUUAAACAUGCACCCAUUCGAACACAUUGAGACCCACCUUCAGAUAGGAUGCCUAUAUUCUUUGGAUAGGCA
rnacentral:lncRNA from 10 species